UGAGGAAUAUUGGUCAAUGGGCGUAAGCCUGAACCAGCCAAGUCGCGUGAGGGAUGAAGGUUCUAUGGAUCGUAAACCUCUUUUAUAAGGGAAUAAAGUGUGGGACGUGUCCUAUUUUGUAUGUACCUUAUGAAUAAGGAUCGGCUAACUCCGUGCCAGCAGCCGCGGUAAUACGGAGGAUCCGAGCGUUAUCCGGAUUUAUUGGGUUUAAAGGGUGCGUAGGCGGCCUUUUAAGUCAGCGGUGAAAGUCUGUGGCUCAACCAUAGAAUUGCCGUUGAAACUG
rnacentral:rRNA from 1 species